rnacentral:rRNA from 1 species
CCUACGGGAUGCAGCAGUGGGGAAUAUUGGGCAAUGGGCGAAAGCCUGACCCAGCAACGCCGCGUGAAGGAAGAAGGCUUUCGGGUUGUAAACUUCUUUUGACAGGGAAGAGCAGAAGACGGUACCUGUCGAAUAAGCCACGGCUAACUACGUGCCAGCAGCCGCGGUAAUAUGUAGGUGGCAAGCGUUGUCCGGAUUUACUGGGUGUAAAGGGCGUGUAGCCGGGCUGACAAGCAAGAUGUGAAAUCCGGGGGCUAAACCCCCGAACUGCAUUUGAAACUGUUGGUCUUGAGUAUCGGAGAGGCAGGCGGAAUUCCUAGUGUAGCGGUGAAAUGCGUAGAUAUUAGAAGGAACACCAAUAGCGUAGGCAGGUUACUGGGACGGUUCUGACACUAAGGCACGAAAGCGUAGGGAGCAAACGGGAUUAGAUACCCUUGUAGUC